CUGUGGCUAAAGUCUUUCAGAGUUAUUUAGAAAUGAGAAUACAAAGGUUGUCAUCUCCUCUUACUAGGAGUGAUCGAUUCUUUGUUGACCUACUCACAACCUUCAUACACACUCUAUCAUAUCCAAAACAUCCCAUUCAUGAUUUAUUGCCAUGAUUGAGUAUGAAUCAAAAUAUAGGUUUAUGUGUGCGAAGUUUCAUAGUGGUCUCAGAUCUAAGAACCACAUGCAU
rnacentral:lncRNA from 1 species